rnacentral:rRNA from 1 species
AAGUCGAGCGGUAGCACAGAGAGCUUGCUCUCGGGUGACGAGCGGCGGACGGGUGAGUAAUGUCUGGGAAACUGCCUGAUGGAGGGGGAUAACUACUGGAAACGGUAGCUAAUACCGCAUAACGUCGCAAGACCAAAGUGGGGGACCUUCGGGCCUCAUGCCAUCAGAUGUGCCCAGAUGGGAUUAGCUAGUAGGUGGGGUAACGGCUCACCUAGGCGACGAUCCCUAGCUGGUCUGAGAGGAUGACCAGCCACACUGGAACUGAGACACGGUCCAGACUCCUACGGGAGGCAGCAGUGGGGAAUAUUGCACAAUGGGCGCAAGCCUGAUGCAGCCAUGCCGCGUGUGUGAAGAAGGCCUUCGGGUUGUAAAGCACUUUCAGCGGGGAGGAAGGCGGUGAGGUUAAUAACCUUGUCGAUUGACGUUACCCGCAGAAGAAGCACCGGCUAACUCCGUGCCAGCAGCCGCGGUAAUACGGAGGGUGCAAGCGUUAAUCGGAAUUACUGGGCGUAAAGCGCACGCAGGCGGUCUGUCAAGUCGGAUGUGAAAUCCCCGGGCUCAACCUGGGAACUGCAUUCGAAACUGGCAGGCUAGAGUCUUGUAGAGGGGGGUAGAAUUCCAGGUGUAGCGGUGAAAUGCGUAGAGAUCUGGAGGAAUACCGGUGGCGAAGGCGGCCCCCUGGACAAAGACUGACGCUCAGGUGCGAAAGCGUGGGGAGCAAACAGGAUUAGAUACCCUGGUAGUCCACGCCGUAAACGAUGUCGAUUUGGAGGUUGUGCCCUUGAGGCGUGGCUUCCGGAGCUAACGCGUUAAAUCGACCGCCUGGGGAGUACGGCCGCAAGGUUAAAACUCAAAUGAAUUGACGGGGGCCCGCACAAGCGGUGGAGCAUGUGGUUUAAUUCGAUGCAACGCGAAGAACCUUACCUGGUCUUGACAUCCACAGAACUUAGCAGAGAUGCUUUGGUGCCUUCGGGAACUGUGAGACAGGUGCUGCAUGGCUGUCGUCAGCUCGUGUUGUGAAAUGUUGGGUUAAGUCCCGCAACGAGCGCAACCCUUAUCCUUUGUUGCCAGCG